rnacentral:rRNA from 1 species
CGGAGUCUGCAACUCGACUCCGUGAAGUCGGAAUCGCUAGUAAUCGCGAAUCAGAAUGUCGCGGUGAAUACGUUCCCGGGCCUUGUACACACCGCCCGUCACACCAUGGGAGUGGGUUGCACCAGAAGUAGAUAGCUUAACCUUCGGGAGGGCGUUUACCACGGUGUGAUUCAUGACUGGGGUGAAGUCGUAACAAGGUAACCCUAGGGGAACCUGGGGUUGGAUCACCUCCUUACCUUAA